CGCCUGCAUCGGUCCCUUUAACUUCGAAUUUUUUAACAAAAUAUACUGAACAAGUUAAAUUCUUCGUCCAUUAUUACAAUUUGGAAAAACAAACACUUUGCUGUGAAAACUACAUCUGCUUGUGUAAUGGGAAAAGCACAUCGUAGCCCUUGUAAGUAAUUAAAUUCUUAAUGUGAUUUUAAACAGAUAUUGCUCGGAAACUUUGAGGUCUUCCGCUCUACACUAUUAGGAAAACCUUCCUUGGACAACUAAAAAAUGAUUUAAUGGACAUUUAAAUAGCUAAAGGCCUCGUAACUGAAUUAAUUUAAUUAUUAUAUAGUCAUAAGAAAUGCGUACAGCUGGAAACAACGGGAUGUUUUUGUUUUGUAAAUGAUAACAUCCAGUCAUUUUUAAAGGCACUUUGCAUUUAAGAAAAAUAACCAAGACCAAAACUGAUUGUUUUUAUCCAGCGCUUGUAAUUGUAUUAGUACAGACGUGCUUCACUGCCCUAAUUGCAAACAGAACUGAAGAUCCUGCAAACGGGUAUAUUGGGGAUUCUUUUCUAUUUUUUACUGGAUCGCCUACCUAAUUCAUUCAUUAUUAGUAUAUGAGUUACUGUUGAAAGAUUUUAACUUUAUGGAUGAAUUCCCUUUCAAGAGGCCGCACGCACCGCGUGGAGAGGCAUUUAGAAGAGAUGAUUAAGGUUGCCUACGAUUUGCUUUUCGCCCAGUUUUUUUUUUCCACUAAUCAAAAGAUUCAGCCAGAAAAACACGGUCCGAUGGGGGAUUUAUCACGUCCCCGCAGUGUGAGAAACACACAUUGGAUGUCAGCAAAUGCCGCAUUCCGAAAUCCGGGUCGCCUGGCACAUGAAAAUCCAGACGCUGUUCAUGGCAUCAAAUCAGCAAUUCUGGGCAACAAGAUGGACCCUAGCGAUUCCACAGAAUGCGGCGUGACUACGGGGGAAUCCUAUCACUUUGCAGCAUGUAAAUCCAGCCAAUGGGUGGGCAACUCCCGCCCGCCACCAUGAGCCUAAGGAGCGAGAACACGUCGCUAAGAUACAGAACCACUGGGGCUCAGUUGCUGGAGAUGCAGCUUCAGCCACCAGAGCUGAAGCUGCAAACUGAUGCUUCUGUCACGUGGAUGCAGAUCACACGGACGGCUCAUUCCACAGCGCCGGGAAGCAAAGACUUAACUUUUAAGAUCAGCCGCUCUCUUGGGAUUUAUACAGCUCAUAAUCAUUCUAAUUGUUUUUGUAUUUUUAAUCUGCUGUCAAAUAAACAGUAAACAGUU